GUUCAAACAAGGAAGGGAUAACGGUGGAUACCUAGGCACCUAGAGAUGAGGAAGGGUGUGGUAAGCAACGAAAUGCUUCAGGGAGUUGAAAAUGAGCAUAGAUCCAAAGAUUCCCAAAUAGGUUAACCUUUUUAACUAUUGCUUAAUCCAUGGGCAGGCAAGAGACAACCUGACAAAUUGAAACAUCUUAGUAGCCAGAGGAAUAGAAAGAAAAAGACAUUCUCAUAGUAGCAGUGAGCGAAAUGGGAGUAGCCUAAACCAUGAAAACAAGGUUGUGGGAGAGCACAAUAUAAGCUUUUUGCUGCUAGGUGAAGCGGUUGAGUCCCACACCCUAGAUGGUGAGAGUCUAGUAGCCAAAAUCAUCAUGGUUUACACUCUAACCUGAGUAGCAUGGGGCACGUGGAAUCCUAUGUGAAUCAAGAAGGACCACCUUGCAAGGCUAAAUACUCUUGGGUAGCCGAUAGCGAAGUAGUACCAUGAGGGAAAGGUGAAAAGAACCCCCAUUGGGGAGUGAAAUAGAACAUGAAACCAUAAGCUCCCAAGAAGUGGGAGGAAAAUUAUAUCUUUGACCGCAUGCCUAUUGAAGAAUGAGUUGGCAACUUAUAGGCAUUGGCUUGGUUAAGGGAACCCACCAGAGCCGUAGCGAGAGCAAGUCUUCAUGGGGAAAUUGUCACUGCUUAUGGACCCGAACCUGGGUGAUCUAUCCAUGAACAAGAUGAAUCUUGGGUGAAACUAAGUGGAGGUCUGAACCGACUGAUGUUGAAAAAUCAACAGAUGAGUCGUGGUUAGGUGUGAAAUGCCACUCAAACCUAGAGCUAGUUGGUUCUCCCUGAAACACGUUGAGGCAUAGCAGUUGACUGGACCAUCUAUGGGUAAAGAAUUUUUUCGGUACAAGCCGCGAGAGAGGUACCAAAUCGAGGAAAACUUUGAAUACUAGAUUUCCCAAAUAAAAGGGGUAAAUUUCAGAGAGUGAGAUGAUGGGGGAUAAGCUUCAUCAACGAGAGGGAAACAACCCAUAUCAUCAGCUAAGGCCCCUAAAUGACCGCUCAGUGAUGAAGGAAGUAUGAGUGAAAAGACAAUGAGGAGGUUUUCCUAGAAGCAUCAAACCUUGAAAGAGUGCGUAAUAUCAUUGAUCAAGCGCUCUUGCACCGAAGAUGAACGAGACUAAGCAAUCCGCCAAAGUUGUGGGAUGUAAAAAUACAUCGGUAGGGGAGUGUUCCGCCUCAGAGGGAAGCACCGGUGCAUGCAGGUGUGGACAAAGAAGAAGCGAGAAUGUCGGCUUGAGUAAUGCAAACAUUGGUAAGAAUCCAAUGCCCCAAAAACCUAAGGGUUCCUCCGCAAGGUUCAUCCACGGAGGGUGAUUUAGGGCCUAAGAUCAGGUUGAAAGGCAUAGUCGAUGGAAAAUAGGUUAAUAUUCUUGUACUACCCCUUGUUGGUCCCGAGGGACAGAGGAGGCUAGGUUAGCCAAAAGAUGGUUAUCGGUUCAAGGACACAAGGUGACCCUCUAUAAAUUGAUUCAAAGGUAAAAGAAGAAUCAAAUAUAGGUGUGUACAAGGUGAAGUUGGGGUGGAUAUUCCUCAUCAUCUACUCUAGCACACAAAAAUCCAAGCUGGCUUAUCCAAACAUUAUAGGAUGCACAAAAUCAUGUAGGAGCACCCACAUCAUCAAUGAGGGUGAGUAUACCUCCUAGGAGAUAUGUUAACCAUAUUGUAUUAGAUUCUUCCAUUUGUGAUCUUUACAAUUAUUUUGA
rnacentral:ncRNA from 1 species